GUGCCAGCAGCCGCGGUAAGACGAACCGUGCGAACGUUGUUCGGAAUCACUGGGCUUAAAGGGCGCGUAGGCGGAUCAGCAAGUCCGGGGUGAAAUACUUCAGCUUAACUGGAGAAGUGCCUUGGAUACUGCUGGUCUCGAGGGAGGUAGGGGUCAUUGGAACUUCUGGUGGAGCGGUGAAAUGCGUUGAUAUCAGAAGGAACGCCGGUGGCGAAAGCGAAUGACUGGAUCUCUUCUGACGCUGAGGCGCGAAAGCUAGGGGAGCGAACGGGAUUAGAAACCCCCGUAGUCC
rnacentral:rRNA from 1 species